AACUGGAAUCCAGGCACCAAAACGUGAAUUUGCGGUUGUCAUUUUGUGUCAGAUGCUGUGCAAUUUGUCAUCUUGAGGACUGCAGAAAUCUUCCCUCGUGGACAGACUGACUCACAGAAAAUACCUCCUGUCUGUGUGCUGUAUUCUGCUCAGGUGGAGAGAGAGGUACCAUCUCUUCAGCAUCCUGUGUCGUGUACAAAAAGAAACAACAGUGAAAUUAUACGUGAAAUACAUCAAUUACAUGUGAUAACUGUUGGAAUGUUGGAAACCUACACAAGAACUUUAUAGAAGAGUUGAAAUACUGAAAGAGAUGCACGCAUGUACACUUUGAUUCGAGUCAGUGUCACAGGAUUUGUUUUCAUGUGAAUCCAUAAAUCAAUUGAAAUUUGAUAUCUGUCUGUACCCCACUCUGCUGCCACACUGUCUGAAUAAAGUGACAAAAGAGGGUGAACUGACUGCUCUCCUUAAAAAUAAA